UUUUUAGUUCAACUACAAAGAGUCUUAUUCCUCCCAAUUUUGCUGGUCUGAUACAGCUAUUCUCCUUCCAACCAAUCUCCUCUGCGUCCCUCCUUUUACAAUUACUCUUGCAUUAUUCUUUUAGCUUAAGAAGAAGAAGAAGAAGAAACAGGAGGUUCAUAGCUCAGGGUCAAAGAAGAAGAUGGGUCGUCAUCAUCAUCAACAUGAAGGAAAUAGACCAUAUGAUGAUCCAUUCUUGGCAUGUUGUUGUUGCCCUUGUUUUGUAGUUUCUUCUACUUUCUCUGUGUUAAAGAGGUGUCUCUUUGUAGUAUGUUUCCCUGUUUUGCAGUGCUUUGGAUUGGAUGAACACAGACAUCAACAUCAUCACCACAGACAUUUCUGACAACCCCAAUUUAAAGGAAAAAACUGAUUCUUGAGUAUAGAAUUCAUAGCAAGAUUAUGUUCUGAUUUGCUCAGUUGAAAUAUACACAGGGUUGACAAACUCAGUAUCAGAAACUGCAGAAAGCUCAAUCAGACUAAUUUCAUUCUUCCAAUGGAGCAGAAAUGUCAAGAUUUAUCAUAUUCCCAUCAGUUGUUGAUAAUACUGGUUCUGCUGAAGCAGCAGCAAAUGAAAGACACACACUUGCUGCAAAGAGUUGCAACAAUAACAUGUGAUCUCUUACGCCCACCAAAAGCUUGGCUUGAUGAAGAUACUCUGCAACAAUCAGGAGAUUCAUAUAUUUUUACUUCAUUCCUUUGAGUUUCUUCCUGUUUACACAUCAUAAUAAAAUAAAAUGAGAGUUUCCAUA